AGUUGUGCUGGACUAGCUUUGCAUGGCGGGCUCCCUGCGCUUCGGCGUGGCUAACCGUCUUGGGGCAGUCUUUUCACUGGGCCUCCCGUCGUGCUCUCGUGGCCCGGGAGGCACGCUUGCAUAUCGGUCGUCUGUGUGGGUCUACCCGUCUGCGGUACGACGUUCGGUCUCAUGACGGAUCUCUGCUAGCCCUGUCGAUAUUUGCUAUCGGCGGGGCAGCCGUUUUGUUGGCAUUAUGCACGUGCUGUUGUGGGCGACAGCCUCGAUCCUGCGCCUGCAUUUUGCCGGCUCUCUCGGAUACCGUGCCCUUGAAGGAAUUCUCGGGACUAUCGGUCCCUUGAUUUCCGCGGGUUGUCCCUUGCGCUCGUUCAGUGCUCCGCUGUCUCAUUGCCCAUGUGGCGAUGUCGGCGCGUGUUGAAGUGCAAGUGAGAUGCUUAUCCGAUUGGCUGAGCGAUUGCCGCUUUCAUGUUGUUCUCCAACGACGAGGCGGCUCUCGUUUAAGACGGGCUACCUGGUUGAUCCUGCCAGUAGUCA
rnacentral:misc_RNA from 1 species